rnacentral:rRNA from 1 species
UACGUAGGGUGCAAACGUUGCUCGGAAUCAUUGGGCGUAAAGCGCACGUAGGCGGUCUGUUAUGUCGGAUGUGAAAGCCCUUGGCUCAACUGAGGAAGUGCAUCCGAAACUGGCAGGCUAGAGUACUAAAGAGGGUCGCGGAAUUCCCGGUGUAGAGGUGAAAUUCGUAGAUAUCGGGAGGAACACCGGUGGCGAAGGCGGCGACCUGGGUAGAUACUGACGCUGAGGUGCGAAAGCGUGGGGAGCAGACAGG